rnacentral:rRNA from 1 species
GAGUUUGAUCCUGGCUCAGGAUGAACGCUGGCGGCGUGCUUAACACAUGCAAGUCAAACGAAGACUGUUUUCGGGAACCCUUCGGGGGAAAGAGGGCAGGACUGAGUGGCGGACGGGUGAGUAACGCGUGGGGAACCUACCCUGCACAGGGGGACAACAGCCGGAAACGGCUGCUAAUACCGCAUAAGCGCACGAUACCGCAUGGUAAGGUGUGAAAAACUGAGGUGGUGCAGGAUGGUCCCGCGUCUGAUUAGCUAGUUGGUAAGGUAAGGGCUUACCAAGGCGACGAUCAGUAGCCGGCCUGAGAGGGCGAGCGGCCACAUUGGGACUGAGACACGGCCCAAACUCCUACGGGAGGCAGCAGUGGGGAAUAUUGCACAAUGGGGGAAGCCCUGAUGCAGCGACGCCGCGUGAGCGAAGAAGUAUCUCGGUAUGUAAAGCUCUAUCAGCAGGGAAGAAAGAAAUGACGGUACCUGAGUAAGAAGCCCCGGCUAACUACGUG